rnacentral:rRNA from 1 species
GUCCACGCCGUAACGAUGUCAACUAGCCGUUGGAAUCCUUGAGAUUUAGUGGCGCAGCUAACGCAUUAAGUUGACCGCCUGGGGAGUACGGCCGCAAGGUUAAACUCAAAUGAAUUGACGGGGCCCGCACAAGCGGUGGAGCAUGUGGUUUAAUUCGAAGCAACGCGAAGAACCUUACCAGGCCUUGACAUCCAAUGAACUUUCCAGAGAUGGAUUGGUGCCUUCGGGAACAUUGAGACAGGUGCUGCAUGGCUGUCGU